AGCGAACGCUGGCGGCAGGCCUAACACAUGCAAGUCGAACGAACUCUUCGGAGUUAGUGGCGGACUGGUGAGUAACACGUUGGAACGUGCCUUUUGGUUCGGCAUAACUCAGGGAAACUUGUGCUAAUACCGAAUGUGCCCUUCGGGGGAAAGAUUUAUCGCCAUUAGAGCGGCCCGCGUCUGAUUAGCUAGUUGGUGAGGUAACGGCUCACCAAGGCGACGAUCAGUAGCUGGUCUGAGAGGAUGACCAGCCACACUGGGACUGAGACACGGCCCAGACUCCUACGGGAAGCAGCAGUGGGGAAUCUUGCGCAAUGGGCGAAAGGCUGACGCAGCCAUGCCGCGUGAAUGAUGAAGGUCUUAGGAUUGUAAAAUUCUUUCACAGGGGACGAUAAUGACGGUACCAGGAGAAGAAGCCCCGGCUAACUUCGUG
rnacentral:rRNA from 1 species